ensembl:lncRNA
AUUUUCUCUUCGCGAAUCCACCGUUUAACCCAAAAAUUACACGUUUUCUCUUCCACAACCUCCUGUUUAACCCGAAAAUCACGAGCUUUCUCUUCGAGAAUUUCCAAUUUAACCCGAAAAUCACGCAUUUUCUCUUCGAGAAUCCCCCAUUUGAGAGAAAAUCUCUCUGAGAAUUUCCCAUUUAAGUGAAAAUCAUGCAUUUUCUCUUCGAAAAUCCCCCAUUUAACCCUAAAAUCACGCGUUUUCUCUUCGUGAAUCCCCCAUGUAAGCAAAAAUCACGCGUUUUCUCUUCGGAAAUCCCCCAUUUAAGCAAAAAUCACGCGAUUUCUCUUCAGGAAUCCCCCAUUUAACCCAAAAGUCAUACGUUUUCUCUAUGAGAAUCCCCCACUUAACUCGAAAAUCAUGCAUUUUCUCUUUGAGGAUUCCCCAUUUAAUCCGAAAAUCACGCGUUUUCUCUUCGAGAAUCCCCCAUUUUACCCGAAAAUCACGCGUUUUCUCUUCGCAAAUCCCCCAUUUAACCCGAAAAUCACGCUUUCUCUUCGGGAAUCCCCCAUUUAACUUGAAAAUCAUGCGUUUUCUCUUCGG